UCGGGAGGCAGUGGGGUGGCCGGGGCGCUAGAGAGGUGACCCCGUGGGACAGCUCACGUCAUGGUCGACUACUACGAAGCGCUGGGGGUGAGCCGCAACGCCACCGCUGAGGACAUCAAGAAGGCGUACAGGAAGGCUGCGCUGAAAUGGCACCCGGAUAAGAACCCAGACAACAAGGAGUAUGCUGAGCAGAGGUUCAAGGAGAUUGCUGAGGCGUACGAAGUGCUGUCGGACAAGCAGAAGCGUGACAUCUACGACCGCUAUGGCAAGGAUGGACUCAUGGGAGCAGCAGGACCAGGUGGCUCCAGGGCCAGUGCCGGGGCCCCCGAAUUCACCUUCACCUUCCGCAGCGCUCACGACGUCUUCCGGGAAUUCUUUGGCGGACGAGACCCCUUUGCUGAAUUCUUUGAUGACAUGAUGCCCUUCUCUGAGCUGCGAGGACCUGGCCCCCGGCACCAUGGGGGAGGACAUUUCUUUUCCCCCUUCCCAGGAUCCUCAGAUUUCUUCGCCUCAUCCUUCAGCUCUGGUGCAGACGCAGGACUGGGCUUCCGCUCUGUUUCCACCUCCACCACCUUUGUUAACGGCAGGCGCAUCACCACCAAGAGGAUUGUUGAGAAUGGGCGGGAACGGGUGGAAGUGGAGGAGGAUGGGGAGCUGAAGUCGAUUCACAUCAAUGGUGUUCCUGAUGACAUGGCGCUGGGGCUGGAGCUGAGCCGGCGGGAGCAGCAAGCCUUCCCCAGGCCACGGCCCCCCUCACCGCCAGCACCGGCCCCACACCAGACCUCGAGCUCCUCACCUGUCUGCCUCUACACGGAUAGCGAGGAUGAGGAUGAGGACUUGCAGCUGGCCAUGGCCUACAGCCUCUCUGAGAUGGAAGCUGCAGGGCACCACCAAGCAGGUGGGCACAGCCCCGGCUCCCUGUCGGCAGCGGGGGGCAGCCACAGCAGCCCGUCCUCCACCCGCAGAGCCCGUGGUGCCCGGGGGAGGCUGGAGCAGGAGCCGCUGGGGGCCAGCAGUUCUGCUGCAGAGGGGCACGAACCUGCCCCCAAAGUGAAGCUGUGGCACUGCCCCCUUCUCUGAGCGUGGGGCAGGGAGAGGAAAGCAGGGCUGGAGUCUCACUGCUUGGAACUCAGCUCCUGCCUCCCCUAGCACGGGAGGGGGGUGCCUCCUUGCCCUGCCUCCUUGCUCAGGUGAGCGGAUGGCUAGUGGCAUCCCAGCGUUGGAGGCUCCCAGACGUGGAGGUAGUGGCUUGAAGAGGAGCCCCCUUGAUGGGGUCCCAGGAAGAGAGGCAGCUCCCUGCCCUAGCUACUGGAAGCGUAGGGGGCCCGAGGGCAGACAUGCUCUGGCUGUGCCUGCCCCUCUCUCCCUGCCAGCCCUGCAGGUGGCAGGGUCUCCAGCAGGUGCCUCCCUGGCUGCAGCCUGUCCUUGCCCAGGCUGCAGGGAGUGCUGAGUUGAGCUCCCCUCCUUGCAAGGAGGGCUGUGCACAUAGCCUCUGCUUGGUGCCUUGUGUCUUGUCUCUUCCCUCUGGAUGCUGUUGCUCCUGCCUGUACUCCCUCCUCCUCUGUCUCCUUGCGGACUCUGCCUGGUCACUCCCUUCCGUAUGCCUUGCACACCCUCCAGGGCACUGUCCCUCCUUGCUUCCCACAGCAGCCGUGACCCUCCGUGAUGUUCACAAGUGUUCCUACCCUCUUCAUUGC